UACGUAGGUGACAAGCGUUGUCCGGAUUUACUGGGCGUAAAGAGCGCGCCGGCGGUCGUUCAAGUCGAGUGUGAAAGCCCCCGGCUCAACUGGGGAGGGUCAUUCGAUACUGAUCGACUCGAAGACAGGAGAGGGUAGUGGAAUUCCCGGUGUAGUGGUGAAAUGCGUAGAUAUCGGGAGGAACACCAGUGGCGAAGGCGACUACCUGGCCUGUUCUUGACGCUGAGGCGCGAAAGCUAGGGGAGCAAACGGG
rnacentral:rRNA from 1 species